rnacentral:rRNA from 1 species
CAGUAGCCGCGGUAAUACGGAGGGAGCUAGCGUUGUUCGGAAUUACUGGGCGUAAAGCGCGCGUAGGCGGUUACUCAAGUCAGAGGUGAAAGCCCGGGGCUCAACCCCGGAACUGCCUUUGAAACUAGGUGACUAGAAUCUUGGAGAGGUCAGUGGAAUUCCGAGUGUAGAGGUGAAAUUCGUAGAUAUUCGGAAGAACACCAGUGGCGAAGGCGACUGACUGGACAAGUAUUGACGCUGAGGUGCGAAAGCGUGGGGAGCAAACAGGAUUAGAGACCCCAGUAGUCCCUGUCUCUUAUAU